CUUGGUUGAUCUUGCUAGUAGUCAUAUGCUUGUCUUAAGGAUUAAGCCAUGCAUGUCUAAAUAUGAACUAAUUCAGACUGUGAAACUGCUGAUGGCUUAUUAAAUCAGUUAUAGUUUUUUUGAUGGUACUCUACUACUUGAAUAACCAUAGUAAUUCUAGAGCUAAUACAUGCACCAAGUCCCGAAUCUUUGGAAGGGAUGCAUUUUUAUAUAAAAUAUCAGCAGGGGCUUGCCCGCUUCUCUGGUGAAUCAUCAUAACUCGACAGAUUGCACAACCCUUAUGCUAGCGAUGCUUCAUUCAAAUUUCUACCCUAUCAACUUUCGAUGGUAGGAUAGAGGCCUACCAUGGUGGUGACAAGUGACAGAGAAUUAGGGUUUGAUUCUGAAGAGGGAGCCUGAGAAACAACUACCACAUCCAAGGAAGGCAGCAGGUGUGCAAAUUACCCAAUCCUGACAUGGCGAGGUACUGGCAAUAAAUAACAAUAUUGGGCUCAUUGAGUCUGGUAAUUGGAAUAAGUACAAUCUAAAUCCCUUAACGAGAAUCCAUUGGAGGGAAAUUUUGGUACCGUCAUCUGCAGUAAUUCCAGCUCCAAUAGCGUAUAUUUAAGUUGUUGUAGUUAAAAAUCUCAUAGUUGGAUCUUGGGUUGUAAAUAUCGGUCCACCUACUCGGUGUGCACCUGCCCUUCUAUCCCUUUUGUCAAUGAUGUGCUCUUAGCCUUAAUUGGCUGCCGUUACUUUGAAAAAAUUAGAGUGCUCAAAGCAAGAUUAUGCUCGGAAUACAUUAGCAUGGAAUAACAUGAUAGGAGUCUGGUCAUAUUGUGUUGGCCUUUAGGACCGGGUAAUGAUUAAUAGGGACUACCGGGGGAAUUUUUAUUUCAUUGUCAGAGGUGCAAUUCUUGGAUUUAUGAAAGAAAGACCACUGCGAAAGAAUUUUCCAAGGGUGUUUUCAUUAAUCAAGAAUGAAAGUUGGGGGCACGAAGAUGAUUAGAUACCAUCCUAGUCUCAACCAUAAAUGAUGCCGACCAUGGAUCGACAGAUGUUGUUCUAAGGACUCCGCACAUUUUGAGAAAUUAGAGUGUUUGGGUUAUAAGGGGAGUAUGGUUGCAAGGUUGAAACAUAAAGGAAUUGAUGAAAGGGCACCACCAGGAGUGAGCCUAUGGCUUAAUUUGACUCAACACGAUGAAACUUACCAAGUCCAGACAUAGAAGGAUUAACAAAUUGAGAGCUCUUUCUUGAUUCUAUGGGUGAUGGUGCAUGGCUGUUCUUAGUUGGUGGAGCGAUUUGUCUGGUUAAUUCCAAUAACAAGUGAGACCUCAACCUAAUAACUAGCUACGUGGAGGUUCCCCUUCACGGCCAGCUUCUUAGAGGGACUAUGGCCAUUUAGGGGAUGGAUGUUUGAGGUAAUAACAGGUCUGUGAUGCCCUUAGAUGUUCUAGGCCGCAAGUGCGCUACACUAAUGCAGCCAACGAGUUUUUAUUCUUGGUUUGAGAGGAUUAGAAAAUAUUCUUAAAUUGCAUCAUGAUGGGGAUAGACCAUUACAAUUAUUGGUCUUUAAUGAGGAAUUCCUAGUAAGCGCAUGUCAUCAACUCAUGUUGACUAUGUCCUUGCCCUUUGUACACACCCCCCUUCACUCCUACUGAAUGAAUGAUCCAGUGAAGUGCUUGGAUUGUGUCGAUGAUGGUGCUUAGUUGCCAUCGACAUCGUGAGAAGUUCAUUGAACCUUAUCAUUUAAAGGAAAAGGAAGUUGUAACAAUGUUAUCAUAGGUGAACUUGUGGUAG
rnacentral:rRNA from 1 species